rnacentral:lncRNA from 1 species
AAUUGCCACAGCCACCUCAGCCUUCAGCCACCACCACCCUGAUCAGUCAGCAGCCACAAACAAGACCUUCCACCAGCAAAGAGAUCCCAACUUCCUCAAGCCUCAGCACUACCGAGGUUGACGCAGCUAGAUGGUUUUCUCCCCGGCUGGUUGCUGCUUCUCACCCACAGAGGCGGUGGAGCCCUUGGAACUGGGCAGAACACAGGGCUGCCUUGUCACCACUGCCUGGCUGAACCUGAAAUUGGGCCGUUUGACAGAAAGACUUGAAAGGGCCACCAGUAAAUUCUUUUUUCUUUUCAUUGA